GCCUUCGUAGCUCAGCUGGCAGAGCAGCCGCCUUGUAAGCGGCAGGUCACCGGUUCGAACCCGGUCGAAGGCU
rnacentral:tRNA from 1 species